rnacentral:lncRNA from 1 species
GCGUCGCCGGCGGUCGCGCGAGACCGGGAGCCGCCUCCGUCUGGCGUCAUAAUCCGGCGCUGGGCCCCGCUCCCGCGCCAGUCAUCCUGAACCUGCAUUAGCAACCGGCUCUAGCCGUUGCCAUGGUUGCGUCGCCGCCCUAGGCCGGUUGGGGGCGGGAGGGUGAGGAGCUGAGCUGGGCCUCGCGGUGAAAGCUGGAACUCAAUCCGGGAUCCCUAACGGCCUACGGCGGCUGCAGUGACCCAGCCCUGGGCCCUCCCUCCGCCUGCCUUCAGGGCCUGCAAGCCGGAGCCUUGCUUUUCGAGAACCUCCUUGGCCCAUGAUGGCCGCCAAAAGUGGCUUUGAUAACACCCCUCAGCCUGAACCAUAAAACGCUCCUUAGGUUGGACUUGAAGAGGGUGAUCUGGCCCAAAGUACACAGAAGAAGAGUUUUCUCAUCUCAGUGGAAGCCAGAGGCUGCAGACUGGUUGGAUGGCCUGCAUGUCCUAGAAGAAGCUUUUGUGGCUGAGAAGAUUAUUAACCAGGACCUGUUGGAACUAUACAAUAAGGCAAAAGAGAAAGAAGAUCCACAUAACCAGUGUGGUCACCAAAUUUGGAGUCAAGGAACCUGUAUUUGAAUCCUGCCACAGCUAUCCACUACCUAAGUGAAAAGUAAGUGGGUAAGAAAUUUAAUAUCUCUAGGACUCAGUUCUUGUCAACAAAGUAAGGGGAGAUUGAACUAAACACUAUCUAAGGCACCUCCUAGCUCAAAGGCUAUGAUUCUAUGAUCCCAAAUGCUAUAUAGCUAGUACAUGUCCAAAUUUGUUCAGUGAAGCUACUUAUGAAAGACUUCCAAAAAAAAAAAGAGGUGUAAGUUUUGAGCUGCAUUUGCAAAGUUAAAAGGAGAGAAAUCAUUCUAGUCAUGGAGAACGACAAAGGUGAGAGAUGGAAAAAUAUUAGAAGUAAAGAUACAUUCAGGAGAUGAUAAGGCUUACAUAGCAGAUUUGGUUGGCUAGAAUAGAAACUGGAUUAAGAAGUGUAUCAAGUAUGGGGUUGUCUUUUGUGAAUUUUGGGGGUCAUCACCCGUGUUGAGUUGGAUUACUUUGCCUUUUGAGUUUCCAUGAACCCUGUUAGUAUUGGUUACAUUUCUUUAUUUGUCUUUGGAUAGGAAGGGAAAAUUGGCUAAAUAAUUACUGGUAACACAGGUGGAGCAUGAAAAACUUGAUUGAGAGUGAGCGUCCUUUGGAAGAAUGGACUAAUGAGCUGGAGCUAGAGCCCUAGUGGAUGAAUUCCUAUACUGUAAAUUCUGACAGUGGCGAUCCUGUUUUAUCUAAAUGUGAUGUCCAGAUAACUUUAUCAAGCGAGAAUACCUAUGUGGAAUCAAGGAAAAGGCAUUAAGCUUGACAGGACAGGUCCUUUGUCAAUGGAAGGAAUGAAACCCACUGAAUGAACACUAAUAGCUAGCAUUUAUAUACUGCUCUAAGGUUGCCGAGGCACCUUAACAUAUGGUAUCUCACUUGACCCUCACAACUACCCUGUGAGGUAGGUGCUAUUAUUAACCCCAUUUCACAAAGUUUAAAGCUGCUUGGAAUUCAGUUCUUCCCGACUCCAAGUCCAGCACUCUAGCUGCCGUGCCAU